AGACUUUACCCCGCCCAGUGAAUCAUAAAUACGAACUUAAAAAAAAAAACACUGGUCUAAUCGCCAUUUUCUUUCAGUUUACUCAUUUGUGUGUUUUUGUUCUUUGAGGGUCCCAGGCUUAGACGCAAUCUCGUUGGAGAUCAGAUCAUCUGCCUCAAAGAAGACUUCUUCUAAAACAGCUCAAGUGAAAAAACGCAAAGAUGACGACUAUCAACCCAAACUUACACCCAAUCCAGAAAGUGAUGAAGAUUUCAGUGAGCCAUCUGAGAGUGAUGAUGAAGAAUUCACAGUCAAGAAACCCACAAGGACCAAAAAGGACAAAUUCUCCACCAAAAACAGAAUCAAACCAGAUCCCACUUCUGAAAAAGACAAACAACCGUCGAAACCAAAGACGAAGCCUGAAGCAGCAGCUGCUUCCAAACCGGUAAAAAGUCUUCCAACAUCCAAACCGACACCCACCAGAUCCCCUUCUUCAAAGCAUUCAUCCUCUCUGAGCCCAGCAGCGGGGAGAGUACCCAAGUGGAACCCACCAGGUCUAUGAGGUCCAGCUUCAGUGAGAAUCAAUACACUUACUCUUUCGGUUAUUUAAACUGCUGUAAUCAGAUUGAAGGCUAAUAUUUAUGUUUAUAUUAUAUUCCAGCUCAGAUUGGUAAAAGUGCCUCAUCGUCACACAGUCCAGCGGUGAAGUCACCCAGCCAGGGGCUGCGACUUGGACUGUCCCGCCUAGUCCGAAUAAACCGCUCCAUCCCAGCGUUGCAUGUCACUAACCCAGGGGUCGGCAACCCAAAAUGUUGAAAGAGUCAAAUUGGACGAAAAUAACAAACAUGUCUGGAGCCGCAAAAUAUUAAAAGUCCUUUUUAAGCCUUGUAAUGAAGGCAACA